rnacentral:tRNA from 1 species
GCCUGGGUGGCUCAGUCGGUUGAGCGUCCGACUUCGGCUCAGGUCACGAUCUCACGGUUCACGGGUUCGAGCCCCGCGUCGGGCU